rnacentral:misc_RNA from 1 species
GUAGGUGAACCUGCGGAAGGAUCAUUAGUGAUUGCCAUCUUGGCUUAAACUAUAUCCAUCUACACCUGUGAACCGUUUGAUUGAAUCUUCUGAUUCAAUUUUACAAACAUUGUGUAAUGAACGUCAUUAGAUCAUAACAAAAAAAAACUUUUAACAACGGAUCUCUUGGCUCUCGCAUCGAUGAAGAACGCAGCAUCUGACUGACUCGACAGCUG